UAGCAAGUUGAAAGGAGCUACCCCAGAGCUGAGGACAAUGAGACUAUAAGAAACAAUGUCUUGGUUCAUAGGACUGUGAUGGAAAAUAAUGUCUCUGCCUUGAUGCUUGGCAGGAUCAGUGAGACCCCAGUUGUUCACAUUACCAGAGAUUCCUGAUGAUGACAUACACACACCUAUGAUUUUUUUCUAUGUCUGAAGAAACUCAACUUUUCGGUCAUUGAGGCUGUUACAGUUUACACAGUAGUUUGGAAAGAGAGAAGCUUCAAAGAUCCUUGAGAUGCAUUGCCUCAUUUAUUCAUCAUGGUGUUCUGAGGUGAGUACAGUUAUUACUAUCCCAUUUCUGCAGAUGAGCAAAAACUUUUGUGGUGCUUGUUACAGGCCAGCAGUGUUCCACGUGUUUUACCUAUAUGAAAUCAUUGAUUAGAUAACCCCCUUUUACUGAUAAGGAGCCUAGGGAGAUUAUGUAGUGAAGAACCUGACAGUUUCACCAACUGCGCUACAGUGUCUCCCGGAGCACAAAGGUACAAGCUUUCUAACCAGCUACUCAAGGUCACACAGCUCUACUAGUGGUAAAAACCAGGGUUUGAACUUAUAUUCUUUCCAUGACACCAAUCUUGACCAAAUUGCGGCUGUUUUGACCACAAAUGUCAGGAUUAUUUAAGUGGCUUUUUUAAAAACUAAUGUCCUCUCCUUUCCCCCAGCUCUACUGAAUCAAAACCACUGGUGCCAAUAUCCUGGCAUCUCGAUUUUCAGCAACCAUUCUAGGAGAUUUCGGUUCACAUUAAACUCAGAGUCCAACUGCGUUAUAAUACACAGAGCAGAUUUCCCGAAAAUGUAAGUGAAAUACCUACUAUAAUUAUAAACUCCAAAUGUCAUUAAUCUUAAGAUUAAAUUUUUUUCAACUUUAAUAUCUCUGAAGUAAGAUGCCUGUUAAAACUGACAGUGUCUUGCAGCCACAGUAAAAAUGUGGAUUUUCUUCUUCUUAGUGGUACAUAAAAUAAUUUUUUAGAUUUCAAAUCAUAUGGCGAUUCACUGGAUGAUCAAAUACAGAAGACAUAGCAUAUUAAAUACUGUUCUUUCCAGUCCUGGGUUUCUGUGAAUAGGUGCCCACCUCCAUGCUGUGAGAGACAGAGUGAUGGAAAUGGGGCUGGAUAUCAUUCAUCAGACCUUGAUUCAUACACACCAUGGGAAAGUCACCAAUCAUUAUGGGUUAGAACAGAUGAAAUAAUCUAUGUGAAAACACUUAGAAAACCAUAAAUCAUUAAAUUAAUGGCAUGUAUGUAUGAAUGUGUGCAUAUGCAUGGGCUUGAAGUAAGAUUAUUAGAGAAAAUGGAAGCAAUUCUAAAAUGCUUAUUUCCAAACUUGGCCCUUGUGCAAUGUAAUAGAUAUGAUGACUCUUAACUUGACUCUUCUUUUUCUAAGACUAGUCAGCAUACCAAUAAAAAUGUUCACUAAUGCUUUCUAUGUUUUAGGACAUUGCUUACAUAGUUUAUGUCAUUUAAGCCUCUUAGCCAUCCUAUAAAAACCAUAUUAUUACUGUGAAUAUUAUACCUAUUUUACAGGAGAGGAAACUGAGUGGUUAGGAUGUUAAAUAAGUUAGCUAAAAUUGUAGAAUGAGAAAGUGGUGGAGAGUGAGUAUGAACAGAAGCAGUUUGAAAUAGGAACUUGCUUGCUGGAGUACAUCCAAGGAAA